rnacentral:rRNA from 1 species
CCCUUAGAUGUUCUGGGCCGCACGCGCGCUACACUGACUAAGUCAGCGAGCAUGUCCUACGCCGACAGGUGCGGGGAAUCUUGUCAAACUUCGUCGUGAUGGGGAUUGAUUAUUGAAAUUCUUGAUCAUCAACGAGGAAUUCCUAGUAAGCGCAAGUCAGCAGCUUGCGUUGAUUACGUCCCUGCCCUUUGUACACACCGCCCGUCGCUACUACCGAUUGAAUGGUUUAGUGAGAUCUUCGGAUUGGCGCCACUGCGGCUCAGCAAUGGGCUCGGUGGAUGCCGAAAAGUUGAUCAAACUUGAUCAUUUAGAGGAAGUAAAAGUCGUAACA